UAUUUUGCUCUUGACCUCGGAUCAGGUAGGGAUACCCACU
rnacentral:rRNA from 1 species